CCAUUCAACCCCAACUUUGCUUUCAGGAACCAAGUAACCCAGAGCUGCUGGCAGCUACAGGUGGCACAAAACAAGUGGCCCGAAAAAGGAAAGAACGACCGAGGGACACUGAUUUGGUUGGGCUUCACAGAAAACAGAAGAAGAUGUAUCCUGCACGCUCUUUGCCGGCAGGUCCAGGCAAGAGGAGAGAACCUUGUCCAGCAGGGUCUUUCUGAGACUGAGCCGGAUGUCUAGGAUCCAAGCCCAUGGAGCAAUGCUGCUCAUAUUCAAGAUGAGCCUUCCCUGAUCAGUUAAAGAUCUCUGGAAACACCCUCAUAUAUAUACCCAGAAGUGUGAUUCUUAAUCCAGUCAAGGUGCUGCGUCUGCCCUUAUGACUUGGGGAUUUAGAAACGACUCGCCCGACGCUGAUACAUUGAAAUACUUCUUCCCUGUAGUAUACCAAUUAUGUUGAUUGAACCAAAAAUGAAUGUCUUAAAACACAGCCUGGUUUCUCUACCCAGUAACAACUGCGUGGAGAAGGUCACGCUUAAAAAGCUGUAGGGCCAGGAGUUAUGGCUGCACUAGGGCAUUGUCCAGGAUCUUGGCAUCUUUGUAGGAGAAGCUGGGAACAUGAGCUGCCCAAAUGCACUAGGCAAAUCAAAAGAUUUGAAUUCUCCCUCUGUGGGAUGGUAAGGGGAAUGAUGUCGUGCAUCGUGGGCACGGCCCUGGCUCAGUUCCCGCCUCUAAAUUGCUUGUGCCCAACCUUGGCUCUUGAGGUUAAGUGAGGAGAGAAAAGUGUCUGAAUUAUGAAAUAUUUUCAAGGUAAUGAAAUUUUAAUUUUCCUCAACACAGCUGUUUUCUCAGACCAGAUCCGAAUGCUGUGUCCAAGCCGUGUCAGCAGGCAGAAGAGGCCUGUGGUAAUUACCCGUACUGUGUGUUCUGUAAGACCAAAGGGCCAGGUUCUUCAGUGUUCUUUUUGCAGCAUUAUUUACCUUUGUAACCACCUAGAACAAAAUUUGAAUUGUACCCCAUAUUAGCUGUUCUCUGGAGGAUCAUUACUGAGCUGCAUGUCUUAACAGUCCUAAUCUGGUGCCAAAAGCCUGGGGGAACUACUGGAAAGUCACUGGUCUUCAGUCCAUGUUGGAAGUCUGAAGAAUCUCUGAUCUGGUGGCAGUGAAAGACAGCACCAAGUUGUAGCUAUGAUGGUAGCGCAAUAAGGUGGAUGAGAUAGCCAGAGGGGAUGCCAAGGCAAACAGGCAAAAAGCAAGAGUUUGACCUUGGACCUUCUUAUAUCUGGGCUGUUCCAGGAAUGAACCGCAUAGGUUCAGGGUGGGUUUUCCCUCAUCCCCGAGGAUAAUUGAACUGAGAUCACAGGUAUGCCCAGAGACUCAUAUCCUUCAUGAUUAUAGAUCCUGUUUGGUUUUUCUUCUUGCUGGGCGGAAUGGAAUAGGUUCCUUAUUCUUCCACUCCAUGGGCCACCCUCCAAAUGCUGAGGAACAGCUAUCAGGAGAACACAGACCCAGCAAAUCCCUGUUAAACCAGUUUGGCUGUGUGUAUGUGUGUGCUCAAUUUGCAGGCUUAAUUAAAAACUUGGAGAGAAGUCUCUGCCAGGCUACCACACACUUUGUAUCUGCCUUCCAGCUGCCUGGGGUCUGCUGUGCAGAUGGGCAGACCUGGGAAUACAGAGAAGGGGACUCUGGGAAGCCCUUUCUGCCAGUUUCAUUUGCAUCGCCACCCGCUUUAAUUAAAGCGAGUCCUCAGCGUGCACCAAGGGAUGCUUGCCUGCACUGCCACACCAAGCAGGCUCCCCAAGGGGGGCCAACAGAGAUCCACUGAGCUGACUGUGAGGCGGGCAAUGCCAGCAAGUGAGCAUCCAGAGGCCUUGGGGACACAGGGAAUGAAACUGUGCAGGCUGCCAGCUAGAGAAUACAGUCCUGAGGUGUGGAGGCUUAGGCUUGCCUCCCAAAACCAUCUCUGCCAUUCAACAGCCAGGACACCUCAGGCAAGGAAAGCCCCGCCUCUCUGCCCCCAGCUAGUCUUCCUCUCCUACAGAGCUUUGGUAACAGAUCCCAGAACUUCUGAUGGCUUACUGAGGGGGAUAAAUAUCAGGUAUUUAGGAAAGUGCCAGUAUUAUUCCAGGAGUGCUUGAUAAAUAUCGUUAUUACUUAAAAGAAAGCUAUACACAUAAAUGUUUAAAAUAGAUGGUAUUAAUCCUAUUUCAUUUUUUAUUGCUUUCCCCCCUCAAAACCAUGUCUCCCAGGCUGAACUUGAACUCAAAGCACUUGUCUUGCUUAGCUUCCUGAAUGCUGGGAUUACAGGCAUGCACCAUCAGUUCGGGGUGAUGGAAAGAUGCUGAAAUGUGUCGAUAAAUAAAGAAAAAUGGCAACUCAAUAAAAUACUCAUGAUGAAUAAAGAACAAAAAAGUUGAGAUUUCUGACAGAGAAUGUCUGAGAUGACUGAAGACAGAUGUAGUAUGGUGGAUGUUUAUGCUGGAACUCGAAUAAACACCACCAGGCUUCAGAAGGCAAUAUUUUUAGGUAGCUGUCAUGUACACUUCCAUUGAACACUUCAAUCCAGGCCAAGGUGAUUGCUUUUUCUUUACAUUUAUUCAAUUUGGGCAAAUGCGUAUUUCUCUGUCCUCUUUCUUUGCUUUCUCAGCAGUUCCCUGGGAGGUACGAAGAUGCUUUGUUUAUUUCUGUGUCUCCUACACCUGCUACAUGGGCUCAAAAAUUGUUUGUUGGAUGAAUGCCAAGCAAGAAGAUUUGACUAUUAUUGACAAACAGUGUACAAAUAUUUUAAGUCUGUUAGAUUGAGACUCAUUAAUACUGCUAUAGUCAUUCUAAUGUAUUCUUCCUCUAAAUGCUUCUCAUUCACCCAGGGAAUGAUUUUUUUUUAACAAGGGUGUAUUUGUGUAAGCCUGUGUGUGUCACGGGUGCAUGUGUAUGUGUGUGCAUGGCAUGUGGAGGUCAAAGGUUGACUUUAGACAUCUUCCUUGGUCAUUUUCCAUCUUAUAUAUUGAGGCACAGCCUCUCAGUGAACCCAGAGCUUACCAUUUAUCUGGUCUAGUUAGGUAGAUUGCCCCAUGGACCUCCUGUCUUUGCUUCUCACACACUAGAAUUACAGGCUGGCCUCUCCACACAUUCAGCAUUUACAUGGGCACUGGGAAUUGAACUCAGGACUUCACAUUUGUGUAGUAAGCACUUUACCAACUGGAUCAUGUCCCUAGAUCCAGUUAGGGAAUUAAAAAAGAAAGGUUCAGAAAAGCUGGGAUCAUGCUUGUGAUUCUAGCACCCAGAGGCUGAGGAUCACAUGGGUUCAAGGCCAGCCUGGUCUACAUAGUGAGUUCCAGGCAUGGAGACUGUGUAGUAAGACUUCCAUAGAAAAACCAACCAACUAACUAAACUAAACUGCAAGGUGGUUUAAUAUAAGGCCAAAUUUCAUUAAACUGCAAAGGAUUAAAAUGUUCCAAGAGAAGGCUGUAUGCUUGGCUCACCUCUGAGAAGGUAAAGUAAGUUUAAAUAAUCUCAGGUCAGACAUAAUCAAGCCAGAAAAUGCAUGGUAGGGGAUCAAAUGCCUGCACAGCAGAGAAAAACAUUUAUAAAUCACCAUGUGCUCCAGAAUAUACACAGUCCUGCUCCACUCAGUAGCAUAGUUAAUAGUAAAUUGAUUCUAAUUACUAAUAACAAUGACACCAUUCACUGUAAAAUCAGCUUAUAAUAAAGAAUUAUUUAGCUACCAAGCUCCUGGGGUCAAGCCAAAUAUACCUGCUGGAGAAGGAGCAGGAGGGAUUAUUAUUAUCAAUUAUCCAUCCAAUUAUCCCUGCUCUGUUAGGAAUGCCUGCACCUCUUCUUGGCUCAGGUUUCUUCCAACAGUUUGGAAGCCCUUCAGCAGGUGGCCUAGUGCUUAAAAAACCUUCAGAGCCCAGUGAGAAUGUGCCCCUAUGUGUGUAUGCGUGUGUUCAUAUAAAUGUGUGCAUGUGUGUGCAUGUGUGCUGCGGACCGGCCUCAGUUGGGCCCCCCUCAAUCCGCGGGAGAACUCGGGGUUCCAGACAGGUGGGCAAUGGAGUUGGUGAUGAAAAGGGGUGACAAACAGACAUGACACAAGGGAGUGUGGAUCUGAAUGUAAUUUGUCUCAGAGCGAGCAUGAGUCUUAUAAGUGACUUUUACACAAAACGGAGGGAUGCAUACUAAAAGCUAAGAGAAACUAACUGGGAUAAAAUUCAAUGUUAACAACUGGGAUCAAAAGCAGCCCCACCUAAGGUCAGCUUAAUCUU